UGAUUCAGCAAUCACUUUUCUGGGAGUAUCCUCAGAGGAAAGGAAGUCAUUAUCUUGGAGAGGUAUCUGCACUCCUGUGUUCAUUGUUCAACAUUAUUCAUAGUGGCUGAGGUAUGGACACAGCUUAUGAGUCUGUUGAGAGAUGAAUGGAUAAAGAAAGUGUUGUGUAAAUACAAUGGAAUAUUUAAUUUGUUACAUUGCAUUACACCCAAUCUUAAAAAUGUAAGAAAUUUUGUCAUUGGAAACAACAUGGAUGAACCAGAAAUCUGAAGUUUUCAGAAGUGCCCUAGGAUUCUGUUCUAUCUCCCCAGGGCAAAUUCUGGGAGAUAGUGAGGGACAGCAAGGCAUGGUGUGCUGCAGACUCUGGGGUUGCAAAAAGCCAGAUACCAGUUAGCUACUGAACAACAACAGCAACAGGAUUUUAUAUCAGAUGGUCUGACCCCCAUGCUUUAAGAAGCACUGUUUCAGGACAUUAUACACACACACACACUUAUUUAUCUAUUCAUUAAUUUAUGCUCAGAUAACUUAAUCUUGAUAGAAGAAUAUUAUCUACAUCUGAACUCAGCAAGAUUAAGGCCAGAAGAAGGAAUUCUUUACAGCCCCAGAGACAUACAAGAGGUACAUUGAAGUAUGACUACUGUGCUUGGCACUUUUAACUGCGGUAUUGGGGAUGAAGUUUCUGAUUAUAUACUCUGCUUAAGAAAAAAUGUUUCAUAGUCACCACAAGAAUGGUCCAAGUAUAGUGGGAGGACAGAGUUUUAGAGAGCCAAGGGGAAAUUACUGUACAGGAAUGAAGGGUUAUGUCAUUAACAGAAGCUCUCUGUUGAUGAAUGAGAGACUGAAGGAAUACAGUAGGAAUACUGUAUUAUGAACAAAAAAGUUAGCUUUCCCUCCUCAACUUUAUUACUCUGAUGUGUAAAAUAUAUAAAGCCUAUUGAAAUAAGUCAAGGAAACAGAUUAUAUCAGAAAUCUUUUAGCAUUUCUAGUAGGUUCUAUUUCAUUUAUUUCUGCAUAGGGAAGGGGAGGAGAAGGAAGCAAGGAGAGAGAAGACUUCCAAGAGGGUUUCCCCCAGCUUCUGCAUCUCAUUACACAAGAUUACCCACAAAACAUCAUGUAAUAUCAUGAAAUAUUAAUAAUAAAAUUGAGAAAGACACACACAAAAAGAAAAAUUGUACUUUGGGAUGAUUUUAUAAAUUCAUAUUUUUCCAUGUAAUAAAAUGUUCUGCAUUACUUCAUGUUGGUUAUUUUUAACUGUAGUUAGCUUUUAUUACUUAGGCUUGUACUCAGAUCCCACCCUCGGAAAUCUUGAUAGGAAGAUCUUCUAUAGGCUCUGGAAAUUUGUA
rnacentral:lncRNA from 1 species